UAUAUGAAGCCACAUUUGAGUCUCCCCGAAAAACUAUUCUCCGAAACGCUAACUUACCCCCUCUCUCUUUUAUCUCUCUCUUCCCUCACUUCACUUCGGCGCCAUUGAAGCUCCGCUCACCUGAUAUCUCUCUCUCUCUCUCUUCUUCUGCAAUUUUUCCAUCUCUCAAUUUCAAUCUCAUCGCUAAUCUACACUCAAUUGUCGGCAGAUUUAAUUUACCCUAAAUAUGCCUCUCCGACUCAAUAUCAAGAGGAAACUCGCGCAAAGAUCAGAGCGAGUGAAGUCUGUGGAUCUACAUCCAACCGAACCAUGGAUUUUAGCGAGUCUCUAUUCUGGAACUGUUGUUAUCUGGAACUACCAGUCACAGACCAUGGCAAAGUCUUUCGAAGUAUCUGAGCUACCAGUUCGGUCAGCAAAGUUUAUUUCACGGAAGCAAUGGGUUGUUGCUGGAGCAGACGACAUGUUUAUACGUGUCUACAACUACAAUACUAUGGAUAAAGUUAAAGUAUUUGAGGCUCAUACAGAUUAUAUUAGGUGUGUAGCUGUGCAUCCCACUCUCCCUUAUGUGCUAUCAUCAUCUGAUGAUAUGCUCAUUAAGCUUUGGGAUUGGGAUAAGGGUUGGAAUUGCACUCAGAUAUUUGAAGGGCAUUCCCACUAUGUGAUGCAAGUCACUUUUAACCCCAAAGAUACUAACACCUUUGCUAGUGCAUCCCUUGAUCGCACGAUAAAGAUCUGGAAUCUUGGCUCACAGGAUCCAAAUUUUACUUUGGAUGCCCAUGUUAAAGGGGUGAAUUGUGUUGACUACUUUACUGGUGGUGACAAACCAUACCUGAUUACUGGUUCUGAUGAUCACACGGCGAAGGUCUGGGACUAUCAGACAAAGAGCUGUGUCCAGACUUUGGAAGGGCACACGCACAACGUUUCUGCUGUCUGUUUUCAUCCCGAACUUCCUAUAAUCAUCACUGGUUCUGAGGAUGGAACAGUUCGCAUAUGGCAUUCAACAACAUACAGGCUUGAGAAUACUCUCAACUAUGGUCUUGAAAGAGUUUGGGCUAUUGGAUACAUGAAGAGCUCCCGUCGUGUUGUGAUCGGAUAUGAUGAAGGAACCAUCAUGGUGAAAAUGGGUCGUGAAAUACCUGUUGCUAGCAUGGAUAAUAGUGGAAAAAUUAUAUGGGCUAAGCAUAAUGAGAUUCAAACUGUUGAUAUCAGGCGUGUUGGUGCUGGCUAUGAGGUGACUGAUGGUGAAAGGUUGCCAUUGGCUGUGAAGGAGUUGGGAUCUUGUGAUCUUUACCCACAGUUUUUAAAGCACAACCCAAAUGGGAGGUUUGUCGUGGUUUGUGGGGAUGGAGAGUACAUCAUUUACACUGCUGUUGCUUGGAGGAAUAGGUCGUUUGGUUCAGCUUUGGAGUUUGUUUGGUCAUCUGAAGGAGAAUAUGCUGUCAGAGAAAGCACUUCUAAGAUCAAGAUUUUCAGCAAAAAUUUCCAGGAAAAGAAGAGUAUCAGACCUACUUUUUCCGCAGAGAGAAUAUACGGUGGAACUUUGUUGGCCAUGUGCUCUAAUGAUUUCAUAUGUUUCUAUGACUGGGUUGAAUGCAGAUUUAUCCGUAGGAUUGAUGUCAAUGUUAAAAAUCUAUACUGGGCUGAUAGUGGUGACUUGGUGGCUAUUGCUAGUGACACAUCUUUCUACAUCCUUAAAUACAAUCGCGAUGCUGUGUCAUCCUAUGUGGAUAGUGGAAAGCCGAUAGAUGACCAGGGUGUGGAGGAUGCAUUUGAGCUUCUCCAUGAAACAAAUGAACGUGUGAGAACAGGAAUUUGGGUUGGAGAUUGUUUCAUAUACAAUAAUUCCUCCUGGAGGCUGAAUUAUUGUGUUGGUGGUGAGGUAACCACAAUGUUUCACUUGGACCGUCCAAUGUACCUGAUGGGCUAUCUUGCUAGUCAGAGUCGGGUGUAUCUUAUUGAUAAAGAAUUCAAUGUGAUAGGUUACACUUUACUGCUUAGCUUGAUUGAAUACAAGACACUUGUGAUGCGUGGAGAUUUUGAACGUGCCGAGGAACUUUUACCUACAAUUCCAAAGGAGCACCAUAAUAGUGUGGCUCGCUUCCUUGAAUCACGUGGAAUGGUUGCUGAGGCUCUUGAAGUGGCUACUGACCCUGAUUAUAAGUUUGAUCUUGCCAUACAGCUCGGCAGACUAGAAAUUGCAAAGGAGAUUGCUACAGAAGUUCAGAGUGAAUCUAAGUGGAAACAGUUGGGAGAAUUGGCCAUGUCUACUGGAAAGUUUGAAAUGGCAGAAGAAUGCUUGAAGCAUGCAAAGGAUUUCAGUGGCAUGUUGCUUCUUUAUUCUUCAAUUGGAGAUGCUGAGGGAAUUUCAGAGCUUGCUACCCUAGCUAAAGAACAAGGCAAAAACAAUGUUGCUUUCCUUUGCUUAUUUACGUUGGGUAAAUUGGAAGAAUGUCUUCAGCUGUUGAUAGACAGUAACCGAAUUCCUGAGGCUGCUUUGAUGGCACGUUCUUAUCUUCCCAGCAAAGUUUCCGAAAUUGUUGCCUUAUGGAGAAAGGAUCUCAGCAAGGUAAAUUCAAAGGCUGCAGAAUCAUUGGCAGAUCCUCAGGAGUAUCCUAAUCUGUUUGAGGAUUGGCAAAUUUCUCUUGCUGUUGAGUCUAAAGUUGCCGAGACAAGAGGCAGUUAUCCUCCUGCUGAGCAAUACUUGCAAUAUGCUGAGAAAUCAAAAAUUGAUCUUGUUGAAGCCUUUAAGAGUAUGCAGAUAGAGGAAGACCAACCUCUUGAAAAUGGUGACACAGUACAUGAAGACGAGGUUCAUGAAGAUGAGGUGCAUGAAGAUGAGGUUCUUGAAGAUGAAAAUGGAGCAGAUGAAAGUCAAGAAGAGGGUGUUGUUGUAGAUGCUGAUUCUAAUGAUGGCGCUGUGCUCGUCAACGGUAACGAAACCGAAGAAUGGGGUACGAAUAAUGACGGAACCCCAUCAGCUUAAAGGCAAUUGGUUGGGCCAGUGUUGAAAAUCCAAAUUUUGUCUCUGUGCUUACUCAACAUCCAUAAGGUCCCUUGUAUAACUGUUGAUUUUGGCUUGUAGACACCCUUGCAUAAGCAGGUUUUUGAACGGGAUGGCAGGUUAGGGGACUGAAUUGUUCACCGUUGCUAUAGGGUUGUUUUGUAGCGCUUGAGAGUUCCAUCGGAGGGCCACAUUUUAGAUACAGUUAAAUAAUGUUUCUGCUGUUUUAUAGUUCAUUUUCAUAGGAUAUUCUUUGUGGCCUUCUCCUCACCUUCCUUUGAUAGUAUAAUACAAAUUGUUAAUGUGAAUGUAGAAAGUUUUUUUUUUUCCUUCUCCUAUAUAGUAUGUCUUGGUUGUUAGAUCAGGGUGAUCAGCCCAUAAGAUUUGAUUUUAUAUAUUUGGUUUGCACGUUACGGCAAAUAAUUAGUAGGAAAAUUUUGCAGAGGCAUGUCUCUAAUAGGAGUGUAAUAGAGCCAUGUCCUGUGAGAGUAAAGUAAUAAGCAUCGUGUAUUUGAUUUUAUAUAUUUGGUUUGCACGUUACGGCAAAUAUUUAGUAGGAAAAUUUUGCAGAGGCAUGUCUCUAAUAGGAGUGUAAUAGAGCCAUGUCCUGUGAGAGUAAAGUAAUAAGCAUUGUGUAUUUGACUGCUUUGUUUUGAUAUCUACAGACUAGUUAAUCUUGAAAGAUUUAAUUCUGGUA